GGUGAUGUGGCUCAGUGGCAGAGCUCUUGCCUUGCAUGUGCAAGGCCCUGGGUUUGAUCCCCAGCACCACAC
rnacentral:tRNA from 1 species